rnacentral:pre_miRNA from 1 species
AUGGUGUAUGGUGUUCAGCGCCAGGGACAAGUUUGUUUAUCUAAUGUGUGGAUGGUGUUCAGCACCAAGGACAGAUGUGUUUGCCU